GAUGAAGAACGCAGCGAAAUGCGGUAAGUAAUGCGAAUUGCAGAAUUCAGUGAGUCAUCGAAUCUUUGAACGCACAUUGCGCCCUGUGGUAUUCCGCAGGGCAUGCCUGUUCGAGCGUCAUUUCAACCCUCAAGCCCCGCUUGGUGUUGGGCCCCGCCCGCUGUGGCCGGCCCUAAAGACAGUGGCGGCGCCGCCUGGCCCUCAGCGUAGUACAUCUCUCGCUCCAGGGUCCGGUGGCCGCCUGCCAGAACCCCCCAACUCUGUGGUUGACCUCGGAUCAGGUAGGGAUACCCGCUGAACUUAAGCAUAUCAAUAAGCGGAGGA
rnacentral:misc_RNA from 1 species